rnacentral:tRNA from 1 species
GCAGGAGUGACGGAAUCGGCAUACGUAUACGUUUGAGGGGCGUAGUUUUGAGGGUUCAAAUCCCUUCUCCUGCACCA